rnacentral:tRNA from 1 species
GGCGUAGCUCAAAGGAUCAGAGCAUUGGACUUCUAAUCCAACGGUUAAGGGUUCGAAUCCCUUCGUCUG